CCUACGGGGUGCAGCAGUGAGGAAUAUUGGUCAAUGGCCGAGAGGCUGAACCAGCCAAGUCGCGUGAGGGAAGAAUGUCCUAUGGAUUGUAAACCCCUUUUGUCAGGGAGCAAAGUCCCCCACGUGUGGGUGUUGGAGAGUACCUGAAGAAAAAGCAUCGGCUAACUCCGUGCCAGCAGCCGCGGUAAUACGGAGGAUGCGAGCGUUAUCCGGAUUUAUUGGGUUAAAGGGGUGCGUAGGCGGGUUAUCAAGUCAGCGGUAAAAUCGUGGAGCUCAACUCCAGACAGCCGUUGAAACUGAUGAUCUUGAGUGGGCGAGAGGUAUGCGGAAUGCGUGGUGUAGCGGUGAAAUGCAUAGAUAUCACGCAGAACUCCGAUUGCGAAGGCAGCAUACCGGGGCCCGACUGACGCUGAGGCACGAAAGCGUGGGUAGCGAACAGGAUUAGAUACCCGUGUAGUC
rnacentral:rRNA from 1 species